CGGGUGAGUAACGCGUGAGGAACCUGCCUCAAAGAGGGGGACAACAGUUGGAAACGACUGCUAAUACCGCAUAAGCCCACAGCUCGGCAUCGAGCAGAGGGAAAAGGAGUGAUCCGCUUUGAGAUGGCCUCGCGUCCGAUUAGCUAGUUGGUGAGGUAAUGGCCCACCAAGGCGACGAUCGGUAGCCGGACUGAGAGGUUGAACGGCCACAUUGGGACUGAGACACGGCCCAG
rnacentral:rRNA from 1 species